rnacentral:rRNA from 1 species
GCAAGUCGAGCGAGACCUUCGGGUCUAGCGGCGGACGGGUGUGUAACGCGUGGGGAUGUGCCCUUCACUACGGAAUAGUCCAGGGAAACGGGGCUUAAUACCGAAUACGCCCUUAGGGGGAAAGAAUUUCGGUGAAGGAUCAGCCCGCGGUGGAUUAGGUAGUUGGUGCGGUAACGGCGCACCAAGCCGACGAUCCAUAGCUGGUCUGAGAGGAUGAUC